UGACCUGUGGACAGGGCUUGCAGAUGCAUGGAGUGUAUGGUAUGGAAUGUAAUUCGUCCGAUGGCAGGCACAGCGCCAAAUGCGACCCACUUACGAAGCGCCGUUGGCGGCGGUACGAUUAUACACGGCAACAGUGGAUCCGUCGCAACGGUGAGCUGCGAAUUAAAAACAUGGCAUUAAAGGACGACGACGAUGAUGAUGAUUCAGCGGAUGAGGAAGAUAUUGAUUCCAGUAAUGGUGAUCAUGAUGAGUCUGCACCACAGUAAGCUCAUCACUCGGUCAGUCAUCUUCAUCUCGAGGAGCCAUGGAGUUGGAGGUGCCUGUCGGCGAUCCAAGCUUUCAAAAUACUUGUCGCAAGCAGCAAUGGGCAUGUGAAAGCAAUCGACGUUCUAAAAAUGAUCGGGCACAAAAUGCAGACAGCAACUUCAUGGUGAAUGAGGAUUUGGCAGUUCGAGAGGACAUCACUUGCUGCUCAACAAGGGUCUACAAUUCAAUCUUGAUUUAGAAAAUUCCGAACAGGAGGAGCUGUUUCGACUGCAAAUCGACACUAGAGAUCUGCUGACCCUACCAACGUCAGAUGCAUUUGCCUCGUCAUCGCUUACAGCUGGAGAAGACAAGAGUGACGCCGGCAACAGCAAAAGUAACAAAGACGGCAAUGAGUGGCACGAACCGAAUGCAACAGACCAUAUAAGUGACAUCAAACUACAACAACAACGUAGUUAUAAAUAGCAAAGCCAUUGGCGCAGCACUCGAGGCCAAUUCACCACAUUCACCGUACGCCAGGUGGCAGAAACAGGGCGAACCGGAGUCAGCUACGGUGACCACAAGCAACCAUGUCACGUACUAAUGACGCAUUGGCGAUUGGUCGGAGAGGUGCUGCAACGCAGGCGGCGCUGAUUUGUGAAAGGUCAGAUGUGUUUUGUAGCGCUGCAUACAACAUGGCGUAUAAGCAAACAGAAUAUUGUUUGUAUAGCAAUUAAACUGUCCAUUAGCUGUAUGAAGCAUUUUUCAUAUCUCGUCGCUCAAUAACAAGCCUACGUUUGCCCCACCACACGCACUGAGUCGACGGACGCCUGGAGUUUAUGUCCCAUUUGUUCUCAAAAAUAAUAACACAAAAUACAAAUGAAUGAAAAUAAAAGCGAAUAUUAAACGGAUUACCAGCCAUUGAGGCAAAGGCUAGAAUUUAUCGAAAUGAAGCAUGACGUGCAGAGCUGAAUGGUGUUUCAUUCUUCAUCAUGGAUUAGAGGUGCAUAUCUGUGGGUGCUAACAUUUUACAGUACAAAAUCUGUUGCUCAGCCAGAGAAUAGCCAAGCAAACUAUAAACCGUUAUAUCAGCACCUGAAAUCACUUUCGUCUUUCGCGAAAUAAAAAAUUCUUGUCAACAUCGAAUCUAUAUAAAUAAUAGAAAUCACAUUUGUAAGAG